UAAAGUGGAUUAGCGGCGGACGGGUGAGUAACACGUGAGUAACCUGCCUUAGACAUUGGGAUAGCCUCGGGAAACCGGGAUUAAUACCAAAUAAAAUAAUAAUGACACAUGUCAUAACGAUCAAAACUCCGGUGGUCUAAGAUGGACUCGCGUCCCAUUAGCUAGUUGGUAGAGUAAAAGCCUACCAAGGCGACGAUGGGUAGCCGGCCUGAGAGGGUGAACGGCCACAUUGGAACUGAGAAACGGUCCAA
rnacentral:rRNA from 1 species